UACGGAGGGGGGCUAGCGUUGUUCGGAAUUACUGGGCGUAAAGCGCGCGUAGGCGGCUUAGCAAGUUAGAGGUGAAAGCCCGGAGCUUAACUCCGGAAUUGCCUUUAAAACUGCAAAGCUAGAAUCAUGGAGAGGUGAGUGGAAUUCCGAGUGUAGAGGUGAAAUUCGUAGAUAUUCGGAAGAACACCAGUGGCGAAGGCGACUCACUGGACAUGUAUUGACGCUGAGGUGCGAAAGCGUGGG
rnacentral:rRNA from 1 species